AAUGGUCAAAUUAUUUUUUAACAGCAUACUAUUUAUUUAUAUUGUCAUGGUUGAAAUUAUAAGAGUAAGGCACAAUUUCUAUUUCUGAUCUAGUUUUCCAUUCGCUUUACCCAGUAACUAUUAUAUUUAAUUUUAAAGAUCUUCCAGAGUUUAUCUGGCUCAAGUUUUAUUUUAUUUAAAUGCUUUCCUAAACUUGUCAAGAUUACUGAGUGUGGCCAUGUUGCUAUAGAGUAUAAGUAUUAUGUGUAGUCAGUAUUUACAAGGUAUUUAUUUUAGUUAUUUCUUGACUAACUUCAGGGUUGGGAAUAAUAAUGAAAUAUCAUUAUCUCUUCUAAACAAAUUAAUGCUACUUGAGCUCAACAUGACAAAUUUUCUAAUCCAAAUAAGUUAUCCUCUUUCAGAGCCCUGAGCCCAGGUAGCUUUUACUUUAAUUUUAUGGGUGAAUUUGCAGUCUAAUUAAUUUUCUAGUAUCUUUUAAAAGAGGCCUGUGGCCAGGUAAUGACAAGGACAGAUUUCCCUUCCACUGUGUUCCAUGGAUACCAGGAUAUAGAUGACUCUAUCAGCAAAUGCAGCUUGGCAAUAAAGUAUCAUGAAUCAAUCCUAACAGUGACUCAUCUUUCUUGACAUCCUCUUCAAUGGCAAUCCCGCCUGCGAGAAGAAGCUCUUGCUUUUUUCUGAAUACUGAUACAUGUGGUCAGAAUAUUAGAGAAGGAAGGAUGGUCUAGAAGCAAUAAAACAAAAUUCUAGUUUCACCAUGAUUGCAGGACUAAAAGUUGUUCUGGUGCGUUGGUGAGUCAGGAGUAGAGAAGUUUUUAUAUUCUAUUUUU
rnacentral:lncRNA from 1 species